GUGUUGGGGAUGGAGGAAGGGGGACAAUGGGGACAAGGGGGACAAUGGGGACACCAAUGACACCAAAAUUGGGGUACAGGGAUGUGGGGACACCACAAAUGGGGCAUCAAGGUCUAUAGGGUGUUGGGGACGGGGGAAUGGGGACAAUGGGGACACCAAUGACACCAAAAUUGGGGUACGAGGAUGUGGGGACACCAAAAUUGGGGUACAGGGACAUGGGGACACCAAUGACACCAAAGUUGGGGUACGGGGACAUGGGGACAUCAAUGACACCGGGAAUGGGGCACCAAGGUCUGUGGGGUGUUGGGGAUGGGGAAAAGGGGACAAUGGGGACACCAAUGACACCAAAAUUGGGGUACAGGGAUGUGGGGACACCACAAAUGGGGCAUCAAGGUCUAUAGGGUGUUGGGGACGGGGGAAUGGGGACAAUGGGGACACUAAAAUUGGGGUACGAGGAUGUGGGGACACCACAAAUGAGUCACGGAGGGCCAUAGGGUGUUGGGGAUGGGGACGUGGGGACAAGGGGGACAAGGGGGACACCAAUGACACCAAAGUUGGGAUACAAGAAUGUGGGGACACCAAAAUUGGGGUACAGAGAUGUGGGGACACCGAUGACACCAAACUUGGGGGACGGGGACAUGGGGACACCAGGGAUGGGGCAUCAAGGUCUAUAGGGUGUUGGGGACGGGGGAAUGGGGACAAUGGGGACACCAAUGACACCAAAAUUGGGGUACGAGGAUGUGGGGACACCAAAAUUGGGGUACAGGGACAUGGGGACACCAAUGACACCAAAGUUGGGGUACGGGGACAUGGGGACAUCAAUGACACCGGGAAUGGGGCACCAAGGUCUGUGGGGUGUUGGGGAUGGGGAAAAGGGGACAAUGGGGACGCCAAAAUUGGGGUACGGGGACAUGGGGACACCAAUGAC
rnacentral:lncRNA from 1 species